AGUUAAUAAAAAAUAUGAUAAAAGAUGGCUGAAUGGAAAAUUAAAUAAUCUGGGGACAUAUAUUAGUUUUUAACUGUACAUGUAACCAGCAAAGAACUUAGUUGACUUGAGGAAGACCAGUUUGGUCAUGAAAAUGAAUAACAUAACAUAGCUCUUAUAACUUCAGCCUAUUUUGAAGACCAUGCAAAAACAUCUGAAGUGAGGUAUUGACUAAGUUUUCAUAAAAUAUUUUUGAAAUUUCUGUGUUUAUGGCAUUUAUAUACAAACACACUUAAGAGUAUGCAGCUGUCUUACAGACAUGUGAACGCUCAGAUUGAAAGAAAGAAAAAUAUUUCUAAAUAUUUGUAAAACAAAUUCUCAUCCAGUUUUUUUUUCUAGUCUUGCAGAAUGAUUGUCUUAUUUUCUUUUUCCCUUGUGUUUUUGCUGUCCUGUAUUUUUAACAACAAAAUGAGCUUCGAUAAUAGGAAUUUUAAAACUUUCAUUACCUAGGAAAAGUGAAAAACCUUCACCCUGUUGUUAAAUUGGUUGCUGUUCCAGCUAAGAGUAUAUUGUGGCUACAUGAUGGACAAAGUUCUUUUUUUAGAUCAAUCAGUGCAAAAAGGACACACUUUAUUUUGCUGUGCAUUUUGUUAUCACAUAUUUUAAUGUUGGUGUUAAUACUUAUGGGUUAAUUAGAUCCAGGAAAACAAUGAAGUCAAGGAUUCUACCAGGGUCUACCUGGUAGAAUCUACACAGGGUUCUACCUUUGAUAUGAAAAAAUAUGCACAGCAAUUUCUUUUGUUAUAUAGCUAUAUAAAAUUGGUGCAAUAUUAGAUGACUUUUCAAAAAAUUUUAACUAUGCGUAUUUAGUCUUGCACUACUUAAUUGCUGAACAUGCAAACAUUAUUUGCGUUCCGUAGCUUCUUCUCCUCUGCCUUAACUCAAGAGUCCUUUAGAUGUAGCCACGCACUUCAGAAAGUUAAAUCUUUCAACAAAAAGGCAAAGUACAAGACAAUCAGAGGAGAUAUUUGAAAUCAGGUCACAAUUCUGAUGAGGCACAGCACCUUGAUUUCAUUAUGGUUUUCCCUUCACAAUUAUAUAAAUCAUGUAAAAUAAUUAGGAUUUUUGAUUCCUCCUUUGUCAUAUACACUGCUCACGCAGUCCAAGUACAAAUUAAAACUUCAGAGAUUUACCUAAAAUUUAUUUUUUAGUUUCUUGUAGAUAUUCAACUCAGCUUAUUAAUCAGUGAAAAGCAUAGCAUUCACUCUCUGAAAAAAUGCAGAGUGAACUUUUUUGGUUCAAAGUCUCAUUUUGGUCUAGAUGAUUUAAUUUACUUGGGGAAUUGUGGCAACAUCAGGAUCAUCCUCCAAUCAAUAAAACCAAACCACCACAAAUCCCCAAGCAUUUUUAUCUGUAUAACACCUAACCAACAUCUCUGAUUGUUUCUCUGAAUGACACAUGGCGUGAGGUUCCUUGUGGAUAGUUAUGCUGUUAUGUUCUUGACUACUUUGUGUACUGAAUCAUAAAUUCAACUGUGCAAAAAAAUUUGCUUAGCAUGAACAGGUUUGUAAACUCACCCUCAAACUCCCUAAUGACUCUUGUUUCUCCUUCUGGUUAAGGAUGGAAUUCCUUUGUAGGGACUUGAAAAAAUGAUUGUGGCAGAUAUUUACUAUUUUAUCCUGGAAUAAUCAUGAACCACUUUAGACAUGUAAAUCCUGGACUUAAGCUCUUUUGGGUUUUCAGAACAUCUUGGUAACUGAAUUAACUAAAGCUUAGAAACACAGGAUUUUUAGCUUGUGAGUAUAAAAUAAUUUGAUUCAUAUUUAAUGUUUCAUAUAUGAGGUCUUUUAUUGCAAUAGUGGUAUUCUUUUUACAGCACCUCAUACUCCAUUCAGUUGCAAGCUGGAGGUGUCUGAGACUGACUUAUCAUCUUACAAGCAACAUGGACAGGAUUUUAGCUUGUCAUUGAGGAAUGUGAAAGGGGGAGGAGCCAAGCAUUUUCCUGGAUAUAAUCUGGGAUUUGGAGCACCAUAGCCAGCCUUUUCCUACUGGAUUCCCAGAGAAUGAACAGGACCAUCUGCACCACCUUCAGAGGAAAACUGAGGAAAACUACACCCUACUAGAGGAUCACUGCUUCAACAGAACCACACCUGUGCCUCCAGGAGAACAGCAGGCACCCUUUAAUCAGACUGCUACCAACACCCUGACCCACAGGUUGUCGAUUUGUAUUCUGACUCUCAGUGCUGAUUUGUAUUACUGCAUUUUUAUUUUUAUUUUUCCUGACAAACAACUGUUAAUCCUCCUACCAUAUCUUUGCCUGAGAGCCCCUUAAUUUCAAAAUUAUAAUAAUUCGAAGGGAGAAGGUUUACAUUUUCCAUUUCAAGAGAGGCUCCCACCUUACUUAGCAGACACCUGUCUUUUCAAACCAAGGCACUUUACAUACCAUCACUGACUUUAUUAUUGAGGAUAAGAAGUUGACAAGUGCUUCACACUAGGAAUCUAAAUAUAAUGAUCAUAUUUGGCCAAAGGAAAAUCCAGUUUCCUCUAGUAAAGGAAAAGGGGAAGCAGAAAAUUUCAGUCUGUAGGUAUUAUUUUAUGAUACAAGUUAUAACACAGGUAAACUAGAAAUUAACAGUUGCUGAUGCUUGGCCAAAUGUAAAAGUAUUGCAUUCAAAAAAAACCCAAAACAAACAAACAAACAAAACACCAAAAAACCAAACCAACCAAACAAAAUCAAACAAACAAACAAAAAAAAAAAACCAAGAAAAA